rnacentral:rRNA from 1 species
GACGAACGCUGGCGGCGUGCUUAACACAUGCAAGUCGAACGGACAGACAGAGAGCUUGCUCUCUUGAAGUUAGUGGCGAACGGGUGGGUAACGCGUAAUCAACCUGCCCUUCAGAGGGGGAUAACAACGGGAAACCGUUGCUAAUACCGCGUACGAUUCAUGAACGGCAUCGUUUAUGAAUGAAAGGUGGCCUCUAUGUAUAAGCUAUCGCUGAAGGAGGGGAUUGCGUCUGAUUAGCUAGUUGGAGGGGUAACGGCCCGCCAAGGCAAUGAUCAGUAGCCGGUCUUAGAGGAUGAACGGCCACAUUGGGACUGAGACACGGCCCAAACUCCUACGGGGGGCAGCAGUGGGGAAUCUUCCGCAAUGGACGAAAGUCUGACGGAGCAACGCCGCGUGAGUGAUGAAGGUCUUCGGAUUGUAAAGCUCUGUUAAUCGGGACGAAAGAGUUCUGCGUGAAUAGUGCAGAAAAGUGACGGUACCGGAAUAGAAAGCCACAGCUAACUACGUGCCAGCCGCCGCAGUAA